AUGGAAUUCCGAGACUUACAAAUUUUCAAUCAAGCUUUGCUUGCUAAGCAGGCAUGAAGGUUAAUUGAAUACCCCGAUAGCCUUUGUGCCCAAGUACUCAAGGCUAAACACUAUCCUAAUGGGCUGUUGGUAGACACGGUAUUCACAGGCAAUGCUUCGUCAACCUGGAAAGCCAUUGAGUAUGGUCUCGAACUGCUCAAGAAAGGGAUUAUUUGGCGCAUUGGCAAUGGAGCAAAUGUCCGGAUAUGGAGAGACCCAUGGAUUCCCCGUGGUCCUUCCUGUCGACUCAUCACUCCUAGAGGUCGCUGCCGCCUCAGAUGGGUUGCUGAAUUGCUACAUACUGACGGAACAUGGAAAUUGGGACUACUACAACAAUUUUUUCACCAAGCUGACAUGGAGGAAAUUGUGAAAAUCAAACCGUCGCAGCGGCUCGUCUCAGACUGUGUGGCAUGGUUCCCAGACAAACAUGGCUCUUUUUCUGUGAAGAGCGCGUACUCCCUUGCCUUACAGGAGAAAAUAAGUGCAAGUGGCCUUGGUGCCUCCAGUGUCCGUCCGGAUGGCCGACGACCUGCGUGGGAUUUAAUCUGGAGGAAUCCAGCUCCACCUAAGGUACACAUCUUUGCAUGGAAAUUGGCACAUGAAGCCCUGGCUACUGAAGCGACCAAAAAAUCUAAACACAUGCAGAAUGAGCAAGCAUGCACCAUCUGUGGACAUGUUACAGAGGACGCCCAUCACGCCCUUGUCCGCUGCCCCCAUGCUGCUGGACUAUGGAACUCCAUGAGAGAAAUCUGGGACAUUCCAAGCGAGGAAGAAAUGCAUGAUACGGAGCCAGAGUGGAUAGUUCGUCUCCUUGAGAAACUGAACGAGACACAGCGAAUGAUGGUUUUGAUGAUUCUCUGGCGAGCGUGGCAUGUGAGAAAUGAAGUUACACACGAGAAACCGCCGGUUCCAAUCGAGGUCUCUCGACGGUUCCUCGCUAGCUAUGCCAUGUCCCUGUUGUCGCUACAACAGCACCCAGACGCAGACCCCAUCAAAGGUAAACAGGUGGUCGACUACUUCGGCGAGCCUAUGCGGAAGCAGAACCCCAUAUGUCAUGUGGAACAUUGGACACCUCCGGUGGCUGGCUGUGUGAAACUCAAUGCCGACGGUUCCUUCCAGCCAACUGACGGCACGGCCGGAGCGGGGAUGAUCCUACGUGACCACUUGGGGGCUGUAAUGCUGGCAGCGAUCAGAGGGCUUGGGAAUUGUGCGGACGCCCUGGAAGCCGAGUUGGCAGCAAUCCAUGAAGGAAUUACUCUGUCUCUCAAUUGGACUGAACUAGAUAUCCUUGUGGAGACUGACAGUGCUGAUGCGGUGCAACUAAUUUCGGCAGCCGGAAAGGACCGUUCAGCACACACUCACAAUGUAAUGGAGAUCAGAUCAAUACUGUCUCAAGAAAGAAGGAUUCAAAUUAUGAAGAUCAAGCGGAAUGUUAAUGUAGCUAGUCACACUCUCGCUCAUAUGGGACGUACACAACAGCGUACUGCUUGCUGGUUGCGUUCUCCCCCGGACGAGAUUGCGAGCAUUGUUGCUGCUGAUUGUAAUUACAUUUCCUGA
rnacentral:rRNA from 1 species